GUUAAUGGGGGCCAAAGGCCCCAAUACUACAGUGUUCCAAGUGCCAAAGCAAGGGAGUUGAGGGAGCUCAGCACCAAACCGAAGUGAGUCCCCAGAGCUUAAGUGUCCACAACAGUUACCAAUGGAGUCAUGCAGUGGUGUAACAAAGAAGGAAAUUGAGUUUUGAUAUUAAAUUAACCAAGGGGGGAAAGAAGGGAUGGCUUCUCUUGGGACAUUUUUAAGUGUUAGUUUAUGGAUUUUUAUUUUACUUCUCACUGGUUUUGGUUAGGAGACCUUGCUUUUACAUACAAUUCACUAGCUGUCUGGGAGGGUCUAGGCACUGAGGUAUAGUGGUAGUGCAUGUUGCUCAGUGUAAAAUGUACGGCUUUCAUGCACUAAUCAACACUCCACUUCUUCUGAGGACAAAGCUGGGGAGUUUCAGCUUGGGAACACAAGUCCCAAGAGUGAGAUUCUGGUGUGAUAUCUUCAAGCAAACAGAAUUACAGGAUGUUGGUGGGCAGGCCCCUGACAGCCCAGGCUCACACAGACACGCAGCUCUACCUGACACCAGUUCCCUCAGAAGAGGGGAAUGGACCUACUGGUGGUGAAUCAGGACACGGUCCAUGUUGGAGAAGAGAAAUCAACAGAAAAAAGAAAAUUGGUUUUCACUUGAUGGAUGACAUUAAACAAAUGACAGAAUUAUUUCUACUUAACCCUGGGGCUCUGCAUCCCAGAAGUAGUUCACUGGACUUGGAGCCAAAGACCUGCAGUUCUAUUCACCACUCUUCUAUUGACUGAAUGUGAGCAGAUCAAUUAAACUUUCUGUGGCUCAGCUUCUGCAUCCAAAAAAAGGGCCUACUUCUAUUCAUCUUCCCUUGUUAAAGUCCUUUGUGCUCAGAUGAUAUGUGCUCUAUAAGUAGUAUUAGGCUAGAUGGUGUCCAAAUCUGACCCUUGAAUGCUUCCAUUAUUGAUACUGCAGAGCUACAAAUAUGGGGUGUAAAUUUUGUUUUGCUUUAUUUGCUAAUGUUUUUUAAAUCCGCAAAAAAUCUACAGCAAAUAUCUGUAGCAAUAGAGAAAUGGCAGGACUUGCCUAAAAAGACUGGUUAGAAGAGCGCUCAAGCUUUAUGCCAUCAGAAAGAGACAUCUAGUAUUGUUACAAGAAGCACCCACAAUUCCUAGAACUGAAAGCAGUUGGAGAAAGAAACUCAUUUUCUUGUGUUUUCAGUGUGUUUCCUUUAUGCAUUUGAAAGCAUUUUGUGUACAGUUAAUUUUUCUGCUUCACUUAUGGUAAAUUGCUCUUCUUGUCUCAUGCACUAGCAGGUUGGUACUCCUGUCAUCCACUGCUCCUGGGGGGCAUGUGCCCUCUCCCUCAGGCUCUGUAAUAAUGCGUUUACCACUCAAAUGCCAAUCAUUAUGACGAAAUCAUUCAUUCUAGUGCCAAAAUUAUGUCCACCCCACACAAAUUUGGUGUCCUCUCCCUUUUGUUUUUGAAGAUUUACAUCAUAGAAUCAUAGACUAUCAGGGUUGGAAGGGAC